rnacentral:rRNA from 1 species
CAGGUACUGUCAAGUAACAACACUAUUAAUGCUGCUACCUUUCCUCCCUGCUGACAGGAGUUACAACCCAAGGCCGUCUUCCUCCACGCGGCGUCGCAUGAUCAUACUUUCGUACAUUGUCAAUGAUUCUCGA